CAAUGGAGAAGGGUGAGCUGUGGUAGACUAAGCUGCUAGCCUGUCCUAAGUAAAAACCAAACAGCCUCCAUGUUGACCCGCUGAUCACCCCACCACCACAGUUGUGUAGUUACCCAUGACAACGGGUUUGCGCAGACAAGUGACCUGAUCCGUUACAUAGUAACAUUGUGUUAUACUAUUGUUACAUUCUCCUCCCAAAGUUUAUGGUUAACUAUUUCCUCUUACAAUUUUGCGGUUUUU